AUGACUUAGAUCACACGGUGGUCAUUUUGGCGGGAAAUGUCGACAGUUGUCAGCUAAUCGCCUGAGUAAAUUUUCGUACGAGGACAGAUUUAUAGACCAUGGAAUCCUUUGAUGGCCGGAAUGAUUGCUGAGAAGUCAUGGAUAGCAGACUGCGGUAAAAUAUGCAUAUAAUCAGGACAGAGUAUACGCACAUGCACGCGCGCGGGAUGCAAGGUCAAGGCGGAUGUCACAGCGAUAGUUUCAAUUUCAUUGGAUGAGACAAUGCUUCUAAACUCUAGACCAAAUUAAAAUGUCAUGAAACGGACGAUGCUUGACGUGGGACCUGCCAUUUGAUUAAAAUCACUGGAGCAUGGAUUUGUUGUGUUCCCUCAACCAUCCCAAGCUUUUGCUGUCUAUUUUUCUCUCUACAUCAGCAAUGACGACACUUUCCUCAAGACAUGGUUGAGCAAUUUCACCAGCAUCGAUCUUAGUUUGGCUCCAUGUAUCCAGUGUAGCAUGACGAGGGAGAGUUGGUUGAUUUACAUAUCAGCAGCAGGCACGCAGCAAGGGGAGCUUACACAUUGUGAUAAAACCGUUUAUACAGAAAAGUACAGCGGUUCUCCAGGUCGGUGGAUGCACAAUUGGUUAAUUAAAGGACUUUUAAUUGACCCCCUGAUGUUUCGGACACCGUACCUGUGACUGCCUGUGAUGUUUUGACUGCAUGCCUAUGAAGAUCUCUCCACAGGUUGCACAUCAUACACAGGGCACACCUUGCUGUGCUUUCUAUGCAGAAGAUUACACUACCAGAUAUAUCAACUCUUAAUUCACUUUGUCAAAAAUUAGGAACUGAAGUUAUAUGAAAGGAUUAUGGCGUAACCU